UAUUCUGCCCCACGGGGAAGGAUGAGAAGCUUCGACUAAGGUUCGACUCGAGCGAAGCGAGAGAACGUUGCCGCAGGCAACGGCCCGAAGGGCGAG
rnacentral:sRNA from 1 species